rnacentral:rRNA from 1 species
GACGAACGCUGGCGGCGUGCUUAACACAUGCAAGUCGAACGGAAAGGCCCUGCUUGCAGGGUACUCGAGUGGCGAACGGGUGAGUAACACGUGGGUGAUCUGCCCUGCCUUUCGGGUUAAGCCUGGGAAACUGGGUCUAAUACCGGCUAGGUGCUACUUUUAGUGUGAUGGUUGGAUAGUUUUUUCGGUGUAGGAUGUGUUCGCGGGCUAUCAGCUUGUUGGUGGGGUAAUGGCCUACCAAGGCGGCGCAGGGUAGCCGGCCUGGGAGGGUGGACGGCCAAAUUGGGGCUGAGAUACGGCCCAGGCUCCUACGGGAGGCAGCAGUGGGGAAUAUUGCAAAAUGGGCGCGAGCCUGAUGCAGCGAAGCCGCGUGGGGGGUGACGGGCUUCGGGUUGUAAACUCCUUUCGCUAGGGACGAAGCUGUUUGUGACGGUACCUAGAUAAGAAGCGCCGGCUAACUACGUG